rnacentral:rRNA from 1 species
CAGUCGCCGCAGUAAUACGUAGGUGGCAAGCGUUGUCCGGAAUUAUUGGGCGUAAAGGGCUCGCAGGCGGUUUCUUAAGUCUGAUGUGAAAGCCCCCGGCUCAACCGGGGAGGGUCAUUGGAAACUGGGAAACUUGAGUGCAGAAGAGGAGAGUGGAAUUUCACGUGUAGCGGUGAAAUGCGUAGAGAUGUGGAGGAACACCAGUGGCGAAGGCGACUCUCUGGUCUGUAACUGACGCUGAGGAGCGAAAGCGUGGGGAGCGAACAGGAUUAGAUACCCCUGUAGUCCCUGUCUCUUAUAC